rnacentral:lncRNA from 1 species
UUGCUUCUUGGUAUCUCUAGCACAAGUUGUUGUGGCGCAUCCGCUUGUAUGUUGAACUCUUCUCUCCGGUUGUGACCGACGAUCCCUCCGGAAGCCUCGGGUGGCCUUUCUCCCCUGCAGGAUGUUGAUUGUUUCCUAUUGUCCCAGCCUCCAGUGGAUUUUCUUGGCUCUCUGGUGACUUUGGUUUUCUCUCCGGAUGGUUG